rnacentral:lncRNA from 1 species
CUUUGGCAAAAGAAUUUCUUUUAUGAGAUACAAGCACACCAGAGCAGCACCACGUUUGCCCUGGCUGUGUGGGAGUAUACAAACUUAUAAAAAAUGGAUUGUGAUGCCCUUUAGUGGGAAGGGAGAAGGGAGAAGUCUCGUAUUCCAGCCCUGGGAUUUUGAUAACGUUGGAAACAGCAUCAGAUCAUCUGUUCGAGGAGGUAUAUGGAAGAGGAAAAGCAUCUCUGGAGUGGGAAAGAGGGGAUGGAAUGGGGCAUGGCCAGGAUUGUGCUGCUGAGGGAGGAUCUCUGCUUUGCCCCCAAUCAAAGGGGAUUUGUGCUAAGCCGAGGGAUGCUGGGCGCCGUGAGCCUCUGGAGCACAGAGGAGCUUUCUGUUAGAGCUUCCUGUGCUUUGUUCAACAAAAUACAUUAACGGGAGGAAGAGAGCUCUCACUACAACCCUGAUUACUAUUUCCUUUAAUUCCAUCAAAAUGACUUCUUCCCAGCACAGCCUCCCCAGCCAGAUGCUCUCCUGGCCUGCAGAGGGUUCGGGACCUUCAUCUGCGCUGCUGGAAAUGUUUUGCAGAUUUCAGCAGGACUCCUGGGCUGGGUGUAUGAAAGUACAGCUUAAGCAAUGACAAAUAGAAAGCACAUGCUUAGUAAAGCUGCAUUACACAACUCUGUCCCACUUUAAUGUCAUCCAUCCCUAAAACAACAAACCUGUGGGAACUUGUGCCUCUGUGUGUGUCUUGGAAAGGGAGGUAGGGCUGAUGUUAUGGUGACUUGUGAGGACAAGCUGGUGGAGAGAUUUGGGUCCACACAGGACCACCAUUAGCUCGAGGACCCUGGGGGCUCAAUCACCACCUGGUUAACAGACACAAGAGUAGUUCUUUCAUGUGACAGGACAGCCUCUGGCUUGUCUGAGCAUACAACAAUGCCCUCACCAUGAAAACUGAGGCAGAAGCACACAAUCAGAGAAUCAAUAAGCUUGGAAAAUACCUCUAAGACCUCUGAGUCCAACUACUAACCCAGCAGCAUCAUGUUCAUUACUAAACCAUAGUCCCAAGUGCCACUUCUAACACUUCCAGGGGUGGUGACUGUACUGCUUCCCUGGGCAGCUGGUUCCAGUGCCUGACCACCCUUUUGGUGAAGAUAUUUUUCCUAAUAACUUAUCUAAGUCUCCUCCUGCUCAGCCUGAGGCCAGCUGCUCUGGUCCAGUCAUCCAGGUCGGGCAGGGUGUGCCUGAGUUGUUCCUCAUGAUGAGGCUCAGGGUGAAGCUGGUUCAGAUCUGCCCCCCAG